CACUAUCUCCUCACCAUAGGCCGGAUACACAAACACACACGGUUCCUGCGACCCGUUGUUGCUAACUCACAGCUAGCUUAUGCUAACGUCUGUACUGUUGCUACUUUGGCUGUUUGGGGGCGAAUAAACAAACGACCCCGCGGUCACAUUCACCGGAAUGAUGCUAGGAGAAAACUACGCAUCGCUGUGAGAAGGAAUAUGGCGUUUGAUAUCGGUUUUAUUAGUGUUUCUGCAAAUAGACGGUUGCAGGUGGACUGGUGUUUACAUGGUCCGUGGGAGCUGGAAGUUUGCAGUCAGCUGUGUGGCGGCUGCAGAUCUGCAGCCUCAAUGGAUGUCAUCUGGGAAGAAGAAGAGGAGGAGGAGCCUUGUAGAGACCAGCUGAAGGAACAUCUUCUCUGAGCUGAAGCUCUGAGAUGAGUGCAGAGUUUCCGGACCACAACGGAGAAGUUCCUUCACUCCAUUCAUGCCGCCUUCUCUCCGUACUAUCUGUAUACUCAUAGUAUUGUAUGUCAUGAAAUAAUUUAAUAAAAAAGUAAGUAAUAGUACGUAUUAUGUCAAAAAAAAGCUCAGAAAAGUCAUACAUGUCAAAAAGUGUUAUUACAAUGUUAUAACACUGUUAUAACAUGUAUUAUGACAAAAAGCUGUCACAAAGUUAAAAAAAGUGUCAAAAAGUGUUAUUACAUAGUUAUUACAUUGUUAUAACACUGUUAUAACAAUGUAAUAACAUGUAUUAUGACAAAAAAUCUGUUAAAAAGUGCUAUUACACAGCUGUACACAGUACAUGCCAUAAAAGUGGAUGUAAAUAAUUUUUUUGUCCAUAAAAAAAAAAAAUGUGGAUUUUUUUUUCUUAAAUUAGAAUCUUCUCUUCCUUUCUCCUACUCACUCCCUUUUUCUGAGAUGUCCUACUCUGGUCUCUUCCUGUCUCUGAGGUGUCCUACUCUGGUCUCACCCCUUCUCUGAGUUGUCCUACUCUGGUCUCUUCCUGUCUCUGAGGUGUCCUACUGUGGUCUCUUCCUGUCUCUGAGUUGUCCUACUCUGGUCUCUUCCUGUCUCUGAGGUGUCCUACUGUGGUCUCUUCCUGUCUCUGAGGUGUCCUACUGUGGUCUCACCCCUUCUCUGAGGUGUCCUACUCUGGUCUCACCCUUUCUCUGAGGUGUCCUACUCUGGUCUCUUCCUCUCCUCCUCUGGUCUCUGCCUUACUCUGAUCCCUGCCUGUCCUUGUCUUAAUACUCUCCUACUCUGGUCUCUGCCUUACUCUGAUCCCUGCCUGUCCUAAUACUCCUACUCUGGUAUCUGCCUGUCCUUGUCUUAAUACUCUCCUACUCUCUUCUUGCCUGCACUUCCUUUCCUAGCCUCUCUUUCCUAUCUGGGGGGCCUAUCUAAGUGCACACACGCUGAUACCGAGCUGUCUUGAACCCGCCACCGGCGCCUUUAGUGGCGAAGACAAACCAACUGCGCCACCAACGCAUGUACGCAUGUGACAGUUCUCCGGGUGUAUUUGUCUUUGUCAUUCUGGGUGUAAAGCUCAAAAUAAAUUGACUGUUCUUGCGUUGGAACCCAUAACCUUUGUGUCUCCCAACCAGCAUUCCAUCACACUGAGCUAUCAGAUCUGAUGGACAAGCUCAUGGUUAGUUGUGUAUUUGUCUUUGUCAUUCUUGGUGUAAAGCUCAAAAUAAAUUGUCCUUUCCUGUA